CCGUUAGUUUUUACACCCGUAGUGAAUUCUUAGGUGUAAUUUUUCUAUAUUUAUAAAAUAUAGUACAAAGGUAAUUAAUUCAACUUAAUUUUAGCUACUAUCACGUGUAAACAAUAGGAGAGAACGUCAUUGUGUACAAACACCUGCGUUUAUACACGAUAAGAGUCGGCUGCUACGUCACUUCCGUUUCGUUAUUGUCGCCGUGGUUGUACGAAAUCGACUGCUUUGAACAAGAUUGCUUAGACCUUUCAUAAAAUGCAUAUAAGCCAAGACCUUCCCGUCUUUUUGUAUAGGGCUAUAUUUGGACAAUGAGUUUUUUUUUUUUUUUGGGGGGGGGUAACCAAAAAGGUGUGUUUUGGAGAAAUUUGAUUGCUAUUCUAAGCAGGUCGAACGAUGUAGAAAUUCUAGAUGCGGUGAAGUACACAUCAUUGGACUCAGGCCAUGCUGAUGUACUGCCUUGAAGAGUUUAGUUGGACAAAACUUUGUUUGUUUGUUUUUAUGUAUGUAUGUGUGCAUGAUGCAUUCAUGAUGCAUGCAUGCAUGCAUAUAUUGUCUAACAAUCCAUUAAUUAAAAAAAAACAGGCACUGAUAUAUCUAAAAAUAGCAGAAGAAUAUCAAUAAAAAUAUACUAUUAUAGACCUAUUCUAGCUGAUCUUACUAAUCAGUUUUGCACAAAAUAUUACACAAUCAGAUAUCAUCUAAUAACAGUGCUCAUCAGAGAUGGCCAGUUUAGCAUUCUUUGAUAAAAAUAAAACAAAAUCACAAUUAUGGGAGGGACUCACCAUGAGUCAUGUCCCUUGUUCCACCCCUCCUGAAGCUUGUGUAAGUUGUGAUUGCCUAAGAGAUAGGUGGGGUCGAAAUGAGUGUAGGUAUUCUUUUUCUUUUUGGAGGGGUUGAUACAUGUGUAGGGUGCAUAAAACCGUAACCUCAUGUAUGGAUGCAUACGCAUAGGUAUGUUGAUGUGUGUGGUAUGGUGUGGUCAGAUCUUUAUUGAACUCUCAGGUUGUGAUGGUGAAAAACUGAUAGUGGAAGUCCUUGAAUUUAUAAUCAUGGUGGAGCCUGCAGAUAAAUCAAAAAUAAAAUAAAAUACGUAUGAAAUGUCAUAGCAAAAUGAAAUAUAAAAAGUGUAUCACAAUUUGCUUAGUCACUGACAUAUGAAAACUGGAUACAAUGACUCCAGAACAAGUUUUACAGACAUUAAUGUACAAAGAAGAAAGUUAUAAAAUAUGUAGAUUGAUUUAUCUAUUCAUAGAUCAACAACCGAAAAGUUCAUGUUUACAACACGUGUGUGUGUGUGUGAAAAGCAAAAAGAAUGUGAAUACACAUAGAAAAGAAGGUUUAUAUUCCUACACAUAUGUGCAUGCACGUGUGUGUGUGCGUGCACGUGCAUGCAUGCACAAGAGGAAAGAAGAAUUAAAUUUGGUAGUGAAAAGUCUUGUAGUUCUCUGGAAUUAUAUUAGCUUAUUUGAAACAGUAACAAAAAAAAAAGACUAAAAUAAAAGUAUGAAAGAUGUCUUGAUCAGUUGUCAUCAGUGAUUUGAUUGCACUCUUCCAGCUGUUUUAAUAAUUUGACUGUGACAUGACUUUAUUCAUCCUAGCUCUGCAGCCUCUCUCCAUGUUUCAAGGAAAAGAUGUCUUAUAUAAAGCCUAAUGUUCACAGUUAUUUAUAUGUGUGAAUCAUUCAGAAUUCAGAAAACUCCCUUUUUUCUCUCAGCCCAAGAAGAUUCUCUGUUACCAAUUGGCUUUUCUUAGGUCAUCUGGUUUUUCAAUAAAUAUUUAUGUUUUUUU